CCUACGGGAGGCAGCAGUGGGGAAUAUUGCACAAUGGGGGAAACCCUGAUGCAGCGACGCCGCGUGAGUGAAGAAGUAUUUCGGGAUGUAAAGCUCUAUCAGCAGGGAAGAAAAUGACAGUACCUGACUAAGAAGCCCCGGCUAACUACGGGCCAGCAGCCGCGGUAAUACGUAGGGGGCAAGCGUUAUCCGGAUUUACCGGGUGUAAAGGGAGCGUAGAAGGCGGAGCAAGUCAUGAGUGAAAGCCCGGGGCGCAACCGGGGGACUGCUUUUGAAACGGUGUAGCUAGAGUGCAGGAGAGGUAAGUGGAAUUCCUAGUGUAGCGGUGAAAUGCGUAGAUAUUAGGAGGAACACCGGUGGCGAAGGCGGCUUACUGGACUGUAACUGACGUUGAGGCUCGAAAGCGUGGGGAGCAAACAGGAUUAGAUACCCCUGUAGUC
rnacentral:rRNA from 1 species